GUCGAUGAUGAAGGAGGAGUCCCAAAUGGGCCAGACCCCCAGAGACCGGUUGAACUCCGUUAAAGAGCUAAAUGUCUGGUCCGUGCUGUCUCAAGGACAAAGACAGGUGUAACUAUAUGUUGCAACAUUUGUCCCUCAACUGAUAAAGAUUAUUGCGGCUCACCUGAACAAACUGCACAACGCACUCAAACUGCCGAGUUGUCUGUUAGUUUCAGUGAUUUUGUGCUGCCUGACUCGAGUUUCAGAUAUGAAGAUGCUGGAUGCAGAGACUCGCUUUCCUCCUGUGACGCCUUGCUAUUCUGGUCCUGUCUGUGCUAUUAACAGCAACCCUGAUGUGUGUCACCAGCCUCCUCCCCUCCCUCCCCUGUCCUCCAUCUUCUCCACCUCAUCUCUCCAUCCUUGCAGCACUGCCUCAAAAACACCUCGGCUGAUGAGGAACUGAUGGGUGACGUGUUGAUGUGCAUAUCUGUGACCACAGUUAACUGACCAAGCGUUAUGUCGGCUGUGUGCGUUUUUCCAAAGCACCUGCCUUUUGGGUCUGAAUGAAUUAAAAAUAGCUCCUGUUGCAGUGGGAGAGCAGGGCUACCAGGUAACACCACUGGGGGCGAUAUUGAGCUCUAUGAGUCAUCAGUGCGCACCUGUGGGACACAGAAAAGACUGCCUCAAUCUUACCGGCUUUAUUUUUUUCUUUAAAACAGAAAUAAUCGCUUCACAACAGGCCUUUUAAAGCAAACCCUCACAUUAAACUUGCCAACACCUACAAAACGGUAUCAAAAGUGCACCAUAGUGUUAAUACAUCUUCUCUAACAUUUUCCACUGAUAAUAUCUUAUUGUUAUAUUUAUACAAAUACCAUCCUGUACACUGUAGAAAUAUACAACCCAGUGUGCCCCAUAAGUGGGUCACUCACCCCACACCCAUCCUCCUAUACAUCCAUGAUCAAAAACAUGAUCCACUCUCAGUAAAUCCCAGUGCAGAAUAACAGUGUGAGGGGUGAAGACACCAGGCCAAUAUUACAUCAUAUGAAUUAUUAAAUACCCAUUCAACCCCACACCCAAGCAAAAACUAAUACGCCACUCAUACGACCACCCAACAUCUGUAUAGGUCUCAUUCAGCGUCUUUUUAAAAACAAUCUUGACACAGUUCUCAUUCAUCAUCGUCUCAAUGUCCCGGCAGCAGCGUCCAGCCAGAGUGAAGGGGGGCAGGAAGGACAGGAUGUUACGUAGGGGGAACUUCAACGGCUGAGCUGCAGCGCUGAGUGUGUAAAAAGCGCAAAUAUGAAUUACAGCUGUGCUGGCAGGUAUAACACCAUGCGGGCUGCUGUGGUGCGUUUAUGGUCCGCUGCUCCCUCCAAAGAGGGAACAGAGCAGUUUCUCCUGGUUUCUGUAGUGAAACACUCGGCUCCACCUUCAGUCUCUGGACUGGUAAAA